GUCAGGCAUAAAUUAUAAGUUGUCUUUUUAUUUGAGUAUAUAAAAAUAAAAAGGCAACUUAUAAUUUAUGCCUGAC